rnacentral:lncRNA from 1 species
GGAGUACCUGAAACAAUUGCAGAAAAUUCGGGAAGAAUACCACAGCGAUAUGAAAGCAUUCAGAUUUAGAGCAGGAGUACUCCAGGAGAAUAAAAAAAUACAAGAUAAAACCUAUUUUGUGAGGCAAGGGAAAGCUGAGGACCAGUCUGAAACCAAGCAUACAGCUGGAACACAAGAAAAAUCACUUCAGGAUGUGGAAGAAAACUUUAAACAAGUCAGACUCCAGGAUAGGCAAUACCAAAAAAUCUUAGAAAAGAAACAUAACACAAAGGUAU